AGCAUUGUCUUAGUAGUUGAGGUAGAACUGUCUUUGGAGGAUAGGUCCGCAAUAUGCUGAGUCAAAUCCACAAAGAACUAUUUGACUUGAAUAUACACGCAAAAUAUUUUGACGAGCUGGAGUACAGCACGUAUGGGCUAUUUAUACAUGAAUAUUGAUAAGACAUUUUGCUUUGUUGUUCAUCGUUUAUAUAAUUAUUCAAAUGUGCAGACACGCACAUCAAAACAAACUUGAACAUUCGACAAGAAGGACGCAUCGCUGAUUUUGCCUGAAACGUUGAAAAGGUGUCACGAUAUCAUCAUGAUUUUUGGAGAGGUCUUGAUUUUGGCGUUUCUCGCCACCACCAUGGGCCUGCUGGGCGUAUCAAUCCACAGCGUGUUCUCAUCACACCGCAAUAACAUCAUCGAGCUGAGAAAACUGGAGGAUGAAAUGAUGGAGAAGUAUGGCUGGGCGCCAUCGGUCCCUUAUAACCCGUACUAUCCACCCAACUGCUAAACGGGUUGACGAAAUGUCCCCAAAUGGGACUGAACUUCUGGUUUGGGUUCUCUGUCCAUUGGAAUGCGAGGCGUUGAAUUUGUAGUAACUGUGACAGAACCCUUGCAUAAUGCUUUGGCUGAAGUAAUGUAAAAAA